UACGAAGGGGGCUAGCGUUGUUCGGAAUUACUGGGCGUAAAGCGCAUGUAGGCGGUCCUACAAGCCAGAGGUGAAAUCCCGGAGCUUAACUUCGGAAUUGCCUUUGGAACUGUAGGACUGGAGUAUCGGAGGGGAUGGUGGAAUUCCAAGUGUAGAGGUGAAAUUCGUAGAUAUUUGGAGGAACACCAGUGGCGAAGGCGACCAUCUGGACGAUUACUGACGCUGAGAUGCGAAAGCGUGGGGAGCAAACAGG
rnacentral:rRNA from 1 species